AGGACGAACGCUGGCGGCGUGCUUAACACAUGCAAGUCGAGCGGAAAGGCCCUUCGGGGUACUCGAGCGGCGAACGGGUGAGUAACACGUGAGCAACCUGCCCUUAGCUCUGGGAUAGCUCCGGGAAACCGGAAUUAAUACCGGAUAUGACCUAGGCCGACAUCGGCCGUGGUGGAAAGUUUUUCGGCUAGGGAUGGACUCGCGGCCUAUCAGCUAGUUGGUGGGGUAAUGGCCUACCAAGGCGACGACGGGUAGCCGGCCUGAGAGGGCGACCGGCCACACUGGGACUGAGACACGGCCCAGACUCCUACGGGAGGCAGCAGUGGGGAAUCUUGCGCAAUGGGGGAAACCCUGACGCAGCAACGCCGCGUGGAGGAUGAAGUCCUUCGGGACGUAAACUCCUUUCGAUCGGGACGAUAAUGACGGUACCGGAAGAAGAAGCCCGGCUAACUUCGCGCCAGCAGCCGC
rnacentral:rRNA from 1 species